AUUCUUCAUGGAAACUCCCCCACCCUAUAAAAAUUAAAUAGAUGAUACCAAGUGAUGUAGGAAAUCUUAGAGAAAAAAACACCAGAUUCAACAACCCAAAAUCAAUCAACAAUCUCAGCAAAUUUGAAUUUCAAAAAAUUUAAAUUCCUAACAAUCAAAUUUUUGUUCAGUGGCAGAGCCAAUCAGUUGAUGAUGCUACUUGGAUUGGUGAGGCUGAUUUUAUAGGGCAAUUUCUUCACUUCAGCCUUGAGGGCUGGUUCUCAUGGGGGUGGCAAUGAUGGGCAACAGGUGGAUCCAAAUGGGCCAAGGCCUAAGGUACAUUCUAGAAGAGCUAAAAAGGGUAUGACAGUUGCCUCAUGAGCUGGUUGUUAUGUAAAAGGACCCAGCUUGGAAAGGAGCAAAAGAAAAGUAUAAAUGAAGGGUUGAAAAUGCAGAAGGCAUGCAUUUUGGGGGAAAUUAGUCUCUCUUGGAGAAAAGGGCAGAGUAUCUGCACAGGAAUAUUUUCCUGGGGCUUCGGCCAUCUUGUUUGGGUUGAUUGUUUCUUGUUUGGUUACUUUCCUUUCAUCUUUGAGCUGUGUAACUUGUAUUGCAAUUCCAGAAAACUCUCCUGGAAUAUUUUACCCGUUUUAAUACAAUUUCAUACUUCAUGCAUUUGAACUGUUUAUUUUUCAUCGUUGGUUGUUGAGAUUACAUUUCCUUUCUAUCACACCUGCAUUUUUUUCAACAUAUAAAACUGACAUACAGGUAAUGGAGCCCUUCAAAACCUGUAAAUAACAUCAGUUACAUUACAUAACGGCCAUUAUU
rnacentral:misc_RNA from 1 species